UCACACCACGAGAGUUUGUAACACCCGAAGCCGGUGGAGUAACCAUUUUGGAGCUAGCCGUCGAAGGUGGGACAAAUGAUUGGGGUGAAGUCGUAACAAGGUAGCCGUAUCGGAAGGUGCGGCUGGAUCACCUCCUUUCUAAGGA
rnacentral:rRNA from 1 species